rnacentral:rRNA from 1 species
GCUUCUUUUUCACCGGAGCUUGCUCCACCGGAAAAAGAGGAGUGGCGAACGGGUGAGUAACACGUGGGUAGCCUGCCCAUCAGAAGGGGAUAACACUUGGAAACAGGUGCUAAUACCGUAUAACAAUCGAAACCGCAUGGUUUUGAUUUGAAAGGCGCUUUCGGGUGUCGCUGAUGGAUGGACCCGCGGUGCAUUAGCUAGUUGGUGAGGUAACGGCUCACCAAGGCCACGAUGCAUAGCCGACCUGAGAGGGUGACCGGCCACAUUGGGACUGAGACACGGCCCAAACUCCUACGGGAGGCAGCAGUAGGGAAUCUUCGGCAAUGGACGAGAGUCUGACCGAGCAACGCCGCGUGAGUGAAGAAGGUUUUCGGAUCGUAAAACUCUGUUGUUAGAGAAGAACAAGGAUGAGAGUAACUGUUCAUCCCUUGACGGUAUCUAACCAGAAAGCCACGGCUAACUACGUGCCAGCAGCCGCGGUAAUACGUAGGUGGCAAGCGUUGUCCGGAUUUAUUGGGCGUAAAGCGAGCGCAGGCGGUUUCUUAAGUCUGAUGUGAAAGCCCCCGGCUCAACCGGGGAGGGUCAUUGGAAACUGGGAGACUUGAGUGCAGAAGAGGAGAGUGGAAUUCCAUGUGUAGCGGUGAAAUGCGUAGAUAUAUGGAGGAACACCAGUGGCGAAGGCGGCUCUCUGGUCUGUAACUGACGCUGAGGCUCGAAAGCGU